UACGUAGGGUGCGAGCGUUAAUCGGAAUUACUGGGCGUAAAGUGUGCGCAGGCGGCCGAGCAAGUCGAGUGCGAAAGCCCCGAGCUUAACUUGGGAAUUGCGCUCGAAACUACUUGGCUGGAGUGUGGCAGAGGAAGGUGGAAUUCCAGGUGUAGCGGUGAAAUGCGUAGAGAUCUGGAGGAACACCGAUGGCGAAGGCAGCCUUCUGGGCCAACACUGACGCUCAUGCACGAAAGCGUGGGGAGCAAACAGG
rnacentral:rRNA from 1 species